UUAAGAGCAGCUUCAUUUUUCACUCUGACAAUGUGGACUAACUCCAACAAAACUAUUUUCAUUUGACAUUUCUAUACAGGUUUUCGUGGUCUUUUGUUGAGGAGAUGAAGAAGGAAGACACAUGUGGAGAAAGCUGGUAGAACACCGGACGGAGUGGACUGGGAUCUGAGGGUCCAAAGGUCAUUGACGUUUGGAGGAGAUCGAUGGUGGAAGGAUGACUACUGAGCCGACACUCAGCCCUCGACAAAUGUUGAUUAAAAACAUUGGACUAGGUCACACUGACAACUCUCUACAGAAGCACCAGCCAGCUGCAUUGUACUUGUUGGGUCUUUUCAGGCUUCUG